rnacentral:rRNA from 1 species
UGCAAGUCGAGCGCGAAAGUACCUUCGGGUGCGAGUAGAGCGGCGAACGGGUGAGUAACAAGUGGACAACCUACCUUACGGUGGGGGAUAACGGCUGGAAACGGCCGCUAAUACCGCAUACGGUUGCAUCCCUGCGGGGGUGUAAAGAAAGGGGCUUUUGCUCCGCCGUUAGAUGGGUCCGCUUCCCAUUAGCUAGUUGGUGAGAUAACAGCUCACCAAGGCAACGAUGGGUAGCCGAGCUGAGAGGUUGAUCGGUCACACUGGAACUGAGACACGGUCCAGACACCUACGGGUGGCAGCAGUAGGGAAUAUUGCGCAAUGGGCGAAAGCCUGACGCAGCCAUGCCGCGUGGAUGAUGAAGGCCUUCGGGUCGUAAAGUCCUUUUCUGAGGGAAGAACAUCCAGGGGAGUAAAAAGCCCCUGGCCUGACGGUACCUCAGGAAUAAGCAACGGCUAACUCCGUGCCAGCAGCCGCGGUAAUACGGAGGUUGCGAGCGUUGUUCGGAUUUACUGGGCGUAAAGGGAGCGCAGGCGGCUAGGUUAGUCUGAAGUGAAAGCCCGGGGCUCAACCUCGGAAUUGCUUUGGAUACUGCCUAGCUUGAGUAUGCCAGAGGCGAGUGGAAUUCUAGGUGUAGCGGUGAAAUGCGUAGAUAUCUGGAGGAACAUCGGUGGCGAAAGCGGCUCGCUGGGACAAAACUGACGCUGANGCUCGAAAGCGUGGGUAGCGAACAGGAUUAGAUACCCUGGUAGUCCACGCCGUAAACGUUGUGCACUAGGUGUGGGAGGUAUCGACCCNUUNCGUGCCGCANCUAACGCAUUNAGUGCACCGCCUGGGNNNUACNAUCGCANGAUUGAAACUC